rnacentral:rRNA from 1 species
GACGAACGCUGGCGGCGUGCUUAACACAUGCAAGUCGAACGGAAAGGCCCUGCUUUUGUGGUGUGCUCGAGUGGCGAACGGGUGAGUAACACGUGAGUAACCUGCCCUUGACUUUGGGAUAACUUCAGGAAACUGGGGCUAAUACCGGAUAGGAGCUCCUGCUGCAUGGUGGGGGUUGGAAAGUUUCGGCGGUUGGGGAUGGACUCGCGGCUUAUCAGCUUGUUGGUGGGGUAGGGGCUUACCAAGGCUUUGACGGGUAGCCGGCCUGAGAGGGUGACCGGCCACAUUGGGACUGAGAUACGGCCCAGACUCCUACGGGAGGCAGCAGUGGGGAAUAUGGCACAAUGGGCGGAAGCCUGAUGCAGCAACGCCGCGUGCGGGAUGACGGCCUUCGGGUUGGAAACCGCUUUCGCCUGUGACGAAGAGUGAGUGACGGUAAUGGGUAAAGAAGCACCGGCUAACUACGUG